AAGAUAUGCUGCAUGAUGUAUUAAAGGCAUGAGUUUAAAUAAAUAAAUAAAACAAAAUCAAAAUUAUAAUCGAUUAUUUUUCACUUUUCUUGAGCUUCCUGUGAUGGUAACUGUGGCCUUUUUUUGGGCUCCUGUGCUUGUGACGCCGUCUGUCAUAGGUUUGGGGACUGUUGCCCUGAUUAUGAUGACUAUUGCACAGUGUCCACAACAUCAGAGUCUCCCUCAGAUGACCCCUGCUACAGCUACACUGUACUGGACGAAUCUUGGAGAGCCACUGACUAUCAGAAUGACUCUGUCUUAAUGUGUGACCGGGAUGUGAAUUGGUUUGGCUGGUAUCGUCUCUUCAUUCAUGGCCAGAGUGUCCAGAUGCCAAACACAUGUAUUGACGAGUACAAAUGUGGCACUCAUGCCCCACUGUGGUUAAAUGGUGAACACCCAAAAGUCGAGGAUGGAGUGGUCACCCGAGGUGUCUGUGGUCACUGGAACAAUAACUGCUGCUAUUUCAAUUCUACUCCCAUUAGAGUGAAAGCCUGUCCAGGCGAUUAUUAUGUCUAUGAAUUUGUUUGGCCAAGUAGCUGUGAUUUGGCAUACUGUGCAGAUGUGUCGAACAUCAACACCACAUAUACAACUGUUGCACCAGAGACCA